UACGUAGGGGGCAAGCGUUGUCCGGAAUCAUUGGGCGUAAAGAGCGUGUAGGCGGCUCGGUAAGUCCGCUCUGAAAGCCCGGGGGCUCAACCCCGGGAGGCGGGCGGAUACUGUCGGGCUAGAGUCCGGAAGAGGCGAGUGGAAUUCCUGGUGUACGCGGUGAAAUGCGCAGAUAUCAGGAGGAACACCAAUGGCGAAGGCAGCUCGCUGGGACGGUACUGACGCUGAGACGCGAAAGCGUGGGGAGCAAACAGG
rnacentral:rRNA from 1 species